rnacentral:rRNA from 1 species
UGCAAAUCAUUAUAAAUUGAUUUUUAUAAUUUAUUUAUUAAAUUUAUGGUGAUUUAUGUAAUAUUAUAUUAGUUAAUAAAUUUAUUUUAUUAAAAAUAAUUAUAAAAAUUUUUGUUUUAGUAUUGUUUAUUGAAAAAAUAAAUUUAAUAAUAGUUAAUUUGUAUUGUAAAAGAUUAUUGAAAAAUUUUGAAAAAUUUUUAUAAUAAAAGAAAAAUUAAUUAUUUGUACCUUGUGUAUCAGGGUUUAUUAAAUAAUUAAUAGUUAUAUUUAUUAAUUUCGAUUUUAUAAGAGUUAAUAAUUUAUGAAAGUUAAUGUGUCAUAAUUAUUUUUAAUAAAUUAUUAGAAAUGAAAUGUUAUUCGUUUAUAAAGGUAUCUAGUUUUUUUAGAAAUAAAUUUAAUUUAGUAAUUUUUAAUUUUAUUUAAUAAUUAUAUUAAUAAAUAAAGUUAUUGAUUGAAAUAUUUUAAGGGAUAAGCUUUAAAAUAAAUUAUUAUAAAUUAAUUAAAUUUAUUAUUUAAAAUAUAUGCAUAAAAUUAGCAAUUAUUAUAAAUUUUGUUAUAAAUUAUUUUUAUGUUUAUAUUAUUAUUAUUUAUUUAUAUUUUAAUUUUUUAUAAAAAUUUUUUUUUUAAUAUUAUUAAAAAAUUAAUAAUGAUAAAAUUAGUAUAUAUAUUUAUUUUUGUUUAUAUAAUUUUAGGUGAUAAGUUUAUAUAAAGAAUUCGGCAAAUAAUUUACUCGCCUGUUUAACAAAAACAUGUCUUUUUGAGUUAUUUUUAAAGUCUAACCUGCCCAAUGAAUUAAUUUUAAUGGCCGCAGUAUUUUGACUGUGCAAAGGUAGCAUAAUCAUUAGUCUUUUAAUUGAAGGCUUGUAUGAAUGGUUGGACGAAGUAUAAGCUGUUUCAUAUAAAAUUAUUGUAGAAUUUUAUAUUUUAGUAAAAAAGCUAAAAUUUUGUUAAAAGACGAGAAGACCCUAUAAAUCUUUAUAUUUUUUAUUAUUUUUAUUUUUUAGAUUAAUUUUAUUUUUAUAAUAGAAAAUAUUUUAUUGGGGUGAUAUUAAAAUUUGUAUAACUUUUAAUUUAUGUAUAUAUCAUUGAUUUAUGAUUUAUUGAUCCAUUAUUAUUGAUUAUAAGAUUAAGUUACUUUAGGGAUAACAGCGUAAUUUUUUUGGAGAGUUCAUAUUGAUAAAAAAGUUUGCGACCUCGAUGUUGGAUUAAGAUAUAUUUUAGGUGUAGUUGCUUAAAUAAUAAGUCUGUUCGACUUU